rnacentral:rRNA from 1 species
AAGGUUUCGGCCUUAGUGGCGGACGGGUGAGUAACGCGUAGGAAUCUAUCCAUGGGUGGGGGAUAACACUGGGAAACUGGUGCUAAUACCGCAUGAUACCUGAGGGUCAAAGGCGCAAGUCGCCUGUGGAGGAGCCUGCGUUCGAUUAGCUAGUUGGUGGGGUAAAGGCCUACCAAGGCGAUGAUCGAUAGCUGGUUUGAGAGGAUGAUCAGCCACACUGGGACUGAGACACGGCCCAGACUCCUACGGGAGGCAGCAGUGGGGAAUAUUGGACAAUGGGGGCAACCCUGAUCCAGCAAUGCCGCGUGUGUGAAGAAGGUCUUCGGAUUGUAAAGCACUUUCGACGGGGACGAUGAUGACGGUACCCGUAGAAGAAGCCCCGGCUAACUUCGUGCCAGCAUCCGCGGUAAUACGAAGGGGGCUAGCGUUGCUCGGAAUGACUGGGCGUAAAGGGCGUGUAGGCGGUUUUGACAGUCAGAUGUGAAAUCCCCGGGCUUAACCUGGGAGCUGCAUUUGAGACGUCAAGACUAGAGUGUGAGAGAGGGUUGUGGAAUUCCCAGUGUAGAGGUGAUAUUCGUAGAUAUUUGGGAAGAACACCGGUGGCGAAGGCGGCAACCUGGCUCAUUACUGACGCUGAGGCGCGAAAGCGGGGGGGAGCAA